UAGCAAUAUAAGAGACCGGCGCACGGGUGAGUAACGCGUAUGCAACCUGCCCUUUACAGGAGGAUAGCCCGUCGAAAGGCGGAUUAAUACUCCAUAAGAUGGUACUGCCGCAUGGCAGAGCCAUAAAAGCUGAGGCGGUAAAGGAUGGGCAUGCGUGACAUUAGCUAGUUGGCGGGGUAACGGCCCACCAAGGCUGCGAUGUCUAGGGGUUCUGAGAGGAAGGUCCCCCACACUGGUACUGAGACACGGACGGGAGGCAGCAGUGA
rnacentral:rRNA from 1 species